rnacentral:rRNA from 1 species
UCAGGUCUCCAAGGUGAACAGCCUCUGGCCAAUGGAACAAUGUAGGCAAGGGAAGUCGGCAAAACGGAUCCGUAACUUCGGGAAAAGGAUUGGCUCUGAGGACUGGGCUCGGGGGUCCCGGCCCCGAACCCGUCGGCUGUCGGCGGAUUGCUCGAGCUGCUCACGCGGCGAGAGCGGGUCGCCGCGUGCCGGCCGGGGGACGGACCGGGAAUCGCCCCUUCGGGGGCUUUCCCCGAGCAU